rfam:Clostridium sp. 27_14 Ley3_66761_scaffold_1735, whole genome shotgun sequence.
GGGGAUGUAAUGGUUUCGACAUACUACUAGAAAUAUAAAUAGCAAGUAGUGGAUUCUCGUUGGCCACUUAAAAAACGAGAAAUUAAAUAUAAAUGCAGAUAAUAAUAGAGAAUUUGCUUUAGCUGCUUAGUUCAGCUACGCUUUACCUUUAGACCUACACUAUUGGAUAAAGUGUCAUUCUUGUAGGAAACAAAACUACUUUUGCUCCUAAAGUAGUAGGUAUUCUAAAGAGCUAUAAUUUUAUUUAUCUUGUUUGUUAGAGAAAUAAAAUUGAAUAUAAAUAACAAACUAAACUUGUAGAAUUUUAUAUGGAAGGUUUUAUGGACAGGAGUUCGACUCUCCUCAUCUCCACCA